UACGUAGGUGGCAAGCGUUGUCCGGAUUUACUGGGUGUAAAGGGCGUGCAGCCGGAGAGACAAGUCAGAUGUGAAAUCCACGGGCUCAACUCGUGAACUGCAUUUGAAACUGUUUCCCUUGAGUGUCGGAGAGGUAAUCGGAAUUCCUUGUGUAGCGGUGAAAUGCGUAGAUAUAAGGAAGAACACCAGUGGCGAAGGCGGAUUACUGGACGAUAACUGACGGUGAGGCUCGAAAGCGUGGGGAGCAAACAGG
rnacentral:rRNA from 1 species